UACGGAGGGAGCUAGCGUUGUUCGGAAUUACUGGGCGUAAAGCGCGCGUAGGCGGCUUUGUAAGUUAGAGGUGAAAGCCCGGAGCUCAACUCCGGAACUGCCUUUAAAACUGCAUCGCUUGAAUCCAGGAGAGGUGAGUGGAAUUCCGAGUGUAGAGGUGAAAUUCGUAGAUAUUCGGAAGAACACCAGUGGCGAAGGACGGCUCA
rnacentral:rRNA from 1 species